rnacentral:rRNA from 1 species
UGGGGUAUAUUGGACAAUGGGCGAAAGCCUGAUCCAGCCAUGCCGCGUGUGUGAAGAAGGUCUUCGGAUUGUAAAGCACUUUAAGUUGGGAGGAAGGGCAGUAAGCGAAUACCCUGCUGUGUUGACGUUACCGACAGAAUAAGCACCGGCUAACUCUGUGCCAGCAGCCGCGGUAAUACAGAGGGUGCAAGCGUUAAUCGGAAUUACUGGGCGUAAAGCGCGCGUAGGUGGUUCGUUAAGUUGAAUGUGAAAGCCCCGGGCUCAACCUGGGAACUGCAUCCAAAACUGGCGAGCUAGAGUAGGGCAGAGGGUGGUGGAAUUUCCUGUGUAGCGGUGAAAUGCGUAGAUAUAGGAAGGAACACCAGUGGCGAAGGCGACCACCUGGGCUCAUACUGACACUGAGGUGCGAAAGCGUGGAGAGCAAACAGG